UGGCAUCGAUGAUACAGGCGAUCACCACCCCGAACAUAGUGACUAACGCAAGAGUAAUAGAACAAAUCACUUCGUCGUCUCUGCCCUCUCCGUCCUCAGAACUGGUAUAGGGAGGGAGAAGACGAGGAGUGGGAGGGAGAUCGCAAGAUGGUGCUGUGGGGUUCCGCUACGACGAGAGGCGCGUCGGAUUUAUUAAGGGAUUCCGUAGGGUCUUCUACCAAGGUAGCACAGACCACAGAGGGACUCCCGAUUUCCCCGGAAGAACCGUCACUUUGGAACCCCUUCGCAGAGCAAUCUGUUGGGGAGUUGCAUACAAAGUUUCUGGUGAAGAAGAUCAGAGGAUUGCACUAGAGGGUUUGGUGUACAAAGAAAACAAAAGUUAGUUUUCGGAUUUUUCUUACUGUAAACGCGAUCGAGGAUAAAGGCAACAAAUGGAUCUGUUUAUCUCUACCUGGAAGAGUAUCUGGGACUGAGCCAAGUUCGGAACGACAAGAAACAGAAGCAGAAACAUCGAAGGACAAAAAUAGAUCCUCAUCUCUUCCUUGCUUUCUUCCGUCGAAGGAGGGAAGGAUGGAACGGGAUGGGGAUGGGAGAAGUGUGAGGGCUAAGGGCACGUAUAUAUAGCUGGAAGUGGCAGGGCAAGUAAGGCAUGAAGGGAAGUAGAUAAGCGUUGUUGUUGCCCAUAACCUGCGUGGGGUCACCGGUGAUUGGAAGAAGAUAGGGCGAAGUCCGUUGCCAACUCUCACAAGUAGAUAAGCCUUUUGAUUACUGCAGCGUCUCGGGCACGUUUGAUGGCCACAUCCAACUGUAGAAACGGCUCACAUCCCUAUUGUCGUGGCAGUCGAAGACUAGUGGAGAGGGAAGCUUCAGGCUCAUUCUCACAGAAGGAGUUAUUACCUUGUGGUCCUUUUCUUUUCCGUCCAAUAUAAGACUGUGACGAGAGACAUGGCCGUCCAAAACACGCAAGCGGUUCAAAGAUGAUGAAGCAAUUUGCAUCCCUCUGAACCCAUAUCAUUUCAUUUCGAAGCUUCAAUGACUACCUAUGGACACAGUGCCAUACCACCUUACCACUUUAUCGUAUGAAUCAUGCCCCUUACUUGACCAACCGAACGGCAAAAGACAAGCUUAAUCCAGCAAGCGAAGCAAAAACGCACAUUUCAAGUGGCAUUUAUGCUCUUCCUGUCAUGUCAGUGUCUGUUCUCCAUCAUUAUUGACUUAUCUUGCCCAACAUAGUAUCGAUUGAAUCA